CGCAACCGGCCUGCCUGACGAACCGCGACAGGGGAGCAAGGAAGGCUGAAUUAAUCCAGUUCCUCGGGGAGGUUUAAACAGGAAGAAAGCCGCCCCACGCACAUCGCUCCAAAGAAGGGGCUUUUAAAACAGGUUGAAGAAACGGGGCGCAGCUUUGCUGCAAUCCCCUUCAACACAACACAAGAGCAUUCUGCAACGAACUAUCCAAUACUUGAGGAAGAAAUGCAUAAAUGAAAGAGAAUCUGACAUUAAGCAAUUCUGCAAGUUCCUCUUGGCUUUGCCUCUCCUCUUCUCAGAAUCCAUCAGGAACAUCUUGUUCUGUACUUGUCACUGCCAAUACUGGAUGCCACAUUCACUGAUUCUUUU
rnacentral:lncRNA from 1 species